AACGAACGCUGGCGGCAUGCCUAACACAUGCAAGUCGAACGAGACCUUCGGGUCUAGUGGCGCACGGGUGCGUAACGCGUGGGAAUCUGCCCUUGGGUUCGGAAUAACAGUUGGAAACGACUGCUAAUACCGGAUGAUGACGUAAGUCCAAAGAUUUAUCGCCCAGGGAUGAGCCCGCGUAGGAUUAGCUAGUUGGUGGGGUAAAGGCCUACCAAGGCGACGAUCCUUAGCUGGUCUGAGAGGAUGAUCAGCCACACUGGGACUGAGACACGGCCCAGACUCCUACGGGAGGCAGCAGUGGGGAAUAUUGGACAAUGGGCGAUAGCCUGAUCCAGCAAUGCCGCGUGAGUGAUGAAGGCCUUAGGGUUGUAAAGCUCUUUUACCCGGGAUGAUAAUGACAGUACCGGGAGAAUAAGCCCCGGCUAACUCCGUG
rnacentral:rRNA from 1 species